UGAUGGAGGGGGAUAACUACUGGAAACGGUAGCUAAUACCGCAUAACGUCGCAAGACCAAAGAGGGGGACCUUCGGGCCUCUUGCCAUCAGAUGUGCCCAGAUGGGAUUAGCUAGUAGGUGGGGUAACGGCUCACCUAGGCGACAAUCCCUAGCUGGGCUGAGAGGAUGACCAGCCACACUGGAACUGAGACACGGUCCACACUCCUACGGGAGGCAGCAGUGGGGAAUAUUGCACAAUGGGCGCAAGCCUGAUGCACCCAUGCCGCGUGUAUGAAAAAGGCCUUCGGGUUGUAAAGUACUUUCACCGGGGAGGAAGGUGUUGUGGUUAAUAACCACAGCAAUUGACGUUACCCGCAGAAAAAACACCGGCUAACUCCGUGCCACCAGCCGCGGUAAUACGGAGGGUGCAAGCGUUAAUCGGAAUUACUGGGCGUAAAGCGCACGCAGGCGGUCUGUCAAGUCGGAUGUGAAAUCCCCGGGCUCAACCUGGGAACUGCAUUCUAAACUGGCAGGCUGGAGUCUCGUAGAGGGAGGUAGAAUUCCCGGUGUAGCGGUGAAAUGCGUAUAGAUCUGGAGGAAUACCGGUGGCGAAGGCGGCCUCCUGGACAAAAACUGACGCUCACGUGCGAAAGCGUGGGGAGCA
rnacentral:rRNA from 1 species